GGGCAGCACACCAAUGGAAUAGUUGUCAUGUGGUGUCCCUAAAAUUUGGGCACCAUUUUCCACCAACCAAACCACAACACCUCCCUUACCACCACAAUCAGACACCCACGAAACCCAUUCCCAUGCAAUAUCAUCUCCAUCUGAUAAGGGAGUCGCCCCCACGCGCCACCUGAAACUACCCCAGCCGGCUGCCCUUCCAAAUCCCCUAUUUCCUGCGUUUUAUUUUUUGCUACAUCUCAACCAUCACUGGAAUCCUUACCCCCUGUCCCCAGCCAGAAACCCAUCGCUGGAGGUCCAUCGCCGGCGGCUUACAUACUCCACGUGCCGGCCACACGCGAGGGGAAGUUGCUGGAAUUCCCCUGAUUUGCCCAGACUCGCGAGAUAUUGCUUCCUGCCUCGAGAGUUUGAACUGCUUCCUGAGAUUAUGAAGCUUUCUGAGGAGAAAUUGAGUUACCAAGCUUGGUUUGCAUUCCUAAGAUCGAAUACAGUCUAAUAUUGGGCUGCCCGAGCCAAUCUUAGACUUUUGAAGUGUGGUCAGCAUUCAGAUCGAGUUACAGCUACUGGUUGUUUCCUGAGAAUCAGAGAGUAGGCACUCGAGAAAUUGUUGGACUGACGUUGGAAUUCGAUGGUGCAGACUUAUCAGAAGGAAGCUCAUGGCCAUUUAUUACCUGACCGGGACUAGGCAUGGACUCAUGGUUGCUCGAAGUUAUCACCGGUUCCAACUCUCUUGGUGCCUCAGGAGCCCCUGAUAGGAGAGCGGGUAAAGCCCCACUGAUCUAGUACGGUUGAUCUGCCCUUCCAAAAGGAGUGCAGAGCAGCAGUGACUGACUGGCCGGACGAUUGGAUGCUGCAUAGCAGGUGACCAUUGCAGCCGAACGUUGUGAAGGAGGAACCGAAUGUUGGGAAGGAAGGUAUAUAAAGGUAUGUUUCUUUUGCUUAAGCUUAAAGGAGGAACCGAACGUUGUGAUAUUAUUUCAUUAAGACUCGUUAGUUUGAUUCAAAAAUUGUGUUAGUUUGUGGUAUAAACUAGUAUUUGAUACAUUCAAUUUGGUUGUAUUGAACCAAAUUUUGUGAUUGUAAGCAUCAUUUGGAAAACUCCGAUUUAAGGUUAGGGUUUAUUUUGUUUUCCAA